AUACGUAGGGGGCGAGCGUUGUCCGGAUUUAUUGGGCGUAAAGGGUGCGUAGGCGGCCUUGUAAGUCAGAUGUGAAAGAUCAUGGCUUAACUGUGGUAAGCAUUUGAAACUGCAGGGCUUGAGUACAGGAGAGGAGAGUGGAAUUCCUAGUGUAGCGGUGAAAUGCGUAGAUAUUAGGAGGAAUACCAGUGGCGAAGGCGACUCUCUGGACUGAUACUGACGCUGAGGCACGAAAGCGUGGGGAGCAAACAGGAUUAGAUACCCUGGUAGUCCACGCUAUAAACGAUGAGUGCUAGGUGUCGGGGGUCAAACCUCGGUGCCGCAGUUAACACAUUAAGCACUCCGCCUGGGGAGUACGGUCGCAAGAUUAAAACUCAAAGGAAUUGGCGGGG
rnacentral:rRNA from 1 species